rfam:Bombyx mori DNA, contig: Bm_scaf75_contig31737, strain: p50T/Dazao, build 2, whole genome shotgun sequence.
UUAACUCUUUGUAUGCAGUUGGAACGUUUGCCUACGUUUGUCGCUAGGGGCGCUGUUCCAACUACAUACAAAGAGUUA